GGGGAAUAUUGCGCAAUGGGCGAAAGCCUGACGCAGCGACGCCGCGUGAGGGAUGAAGGUUUUCGGAUCGUAAACCUCUGUCAGAAGGGAAGAAACUGCCGUGCUCUAAUCAUCAUGGCAUUGACGGUACCUUCAAAGGAAGCACCGGCUAACUCCGUGCCAGCAGCCGCGGUAAUACGGAGGGUGCAAGCGUUAAUCGGAAUUACUGGCCGUAAAGCGCACGUAGGCUGUUGUGUAAGUCAGGGGUGAAAUCCCACGGCUCAACCGUGGAACUGCCUUUGAUACUGCACGACUUGAAUCCGGGAGAGGGUGGCGGAAUUCCAGGUGUAGCGGUGGAAUGCGCAGAUAUUUGGAAGAACACCGGUGGCGAAGGCGGCCUUCUGGGCCACGACUGACGCUGAGGCGCGAAAGCUAGGGGAGCGAACA
rnacentral:rRNA from 1 species